rnacentral:misc_RNA from 1 species
GAUGAAGAACGCAGCGAAAUGCGAUAAGUAGUGUGAAUUGCAGAAUUCAGUGAAUCAUCGAAUCUUUGAACGCACAUUGCGCCCCUUGGUAUUCCAUGGGGCAUGCCUGUUCGAGCGUCAUUUGUACCUUCAAGCUUUGCUUGGUGUUGGGUGUUUGUCCUGAGGGACUCGCCUUAAAGUAAUUGGCAGCCAGUGUUUGGUUUUGAAGCGCAGCACAAGUCGCGAUUCAAAGCUAUACGCCCGCUUCCACAAGCCUUUUUCACUUUUGACCUCGGAUCAGGGAGGGAUACCCGCUGAACUUAAGCAUAUCAAUAAGCGGAGGA